UCAAAAUUAUUAAGUACAUAGAUUAAGUAAUUUUUAAUAAAGAAGACAAAAAUGUAGGAAAUAUUUAUAAUGAGGUUAUAAAUAGCCUUUUUUCUGAACCAGCUAAUAACAAGAAUGUGUCCUCAGUAUACGAAUGCCCCACUCGCACUAUCAUUUUCUAUGUUCAUUGGACCGUGAAAUUGGAGUAAAAUCUCUAAUUUGGCAUUAAAAUUCGAAAGAUCAUAUCACAGGGAACAUGUGUACCAAGUUUGAAGUCGAUUGGACUUCAACUUCAUCAAAAACUACCUUGACCAAAAACUUUAACCUGAGGCGGGACAGACGGACGGACGGACGGAUGGACGAACGAACGGACGAACGGACGAACGAACGGACGCACAGACCAGAAAACAUAAUGCCCCUCUACUAUCGUAGGUGGGGCAUAAAAAGAGCUUUUUAUGCAAUGUAUGUCAUUUAGAGAAAACUUAGAGAAAAACUUAAUACAAAUUGUAAAACAAAAUGAAUUUUCAAUUGCAGUGUCAUUGUUUUUUCCCCUGACAAAUAACUAACUGGUUUGGUCAUUUUUUCCCAAUUCUACGGGUGUUACUUUGACCCAAGUUUACAGGUUACAAUCUCAUAAUCAUUUAACAUUAAUUUCUUUAAACAAAUUUUCUUAGGUAUUAAAUCUCUGAAGUAGUGUAUGUACAUUCAUUUAAUUUGUUUAAUCUGAAGAAUAAACAAAUUUUGUUCUUUAAUAAAUUUGAUAAAAAAUAUGAUUUUUAUUCUGAUUCAGUUAAUUAAUUGUAAGAAUCAAAAUACACAUUUAAAAUAUAUUUUUAUAAAAAAAAAAAAUAUGCAUACUCAUUUUUAAAAUCCCUAUGCUAUCUGUCAUCUGUCAAUAGUGAUAUCUGGUUUUAAUUAUGUAAUCAAACAAUAAUUUAUACCUAAAAUAUGAAAAAAACAUUUGGUCAUUAGCGUAAAUUUUCUUAAAAAUAUUGUAUAUUGUGUUUGAAGAAGCAUUUUUGUCUCGCCUUGCAGUAGUCGUAGAGGUGAGACUUACACAUGCUGUUUCUGCUGGACUGCAGUGUCCAAGAUUUGUUAAAACUUGAGAUUAGGUCAGUUGUAGAGGAACCAGUUAUAGUAAGGGCUGAUAUGUGGUUGUAUUAGCAUUGGCACAUUUCAUUUCCAUGGAGAUUAUUUAUCCCUGCCUUGUCAGUUAUGGUCUAUUGACUUUGAAAGUUUGAUAGUCAAAAUUUUAGACAAGUUAGUUUAAGGAAAACCACUAAUGGCAUCACAAAGAUAUUUAGUAUGCAGUUGUAUAAGCAUCGAAUAUCUAUAGAGAUUAUAUUACCCAGUCCCCUCAGUCACUCUGUUGACUUUGAAAUUUUUGCAGUUUACAUGUAAAAGUUUGAUAAGGUCAGUUUAAAGGAAACCACUGAUGAUAAGUCAAUGAUAUUUUGUUAUGCAGUUGUAUUAUCAUUGGCAUAUCUCAUGCACCCCAAGUCAAGGUUCAUACACUUUGAAAGUUUUGCAUAGUUUACAUGUUUAAAGUUUUGCCACUUUAGUUAAAACGAUUUACAUUAAACUAUUAAAAUUACAUGAUGGUGAGAAAUAUAUCUGUGUCAACAGUGUAUUUUAUUUUGUAUAUUUGUAAUUCAAACAUUGUAAUAAAGUUUAAAUUAUUUUGUGAUUUUCUAUUAUUUUCUAUUUGUGUGAUACUCAGUCAGUGGUUUUUCAGAUCAUAUUAAUUCAAUACCUUUAUAAACUAUGAUAAAUUGAAUAAAUUUUGUGUCAUGCACAUUUAUUACAGUACAUACCAUAUUGAACUUGUUAAAUUGAAUUUAAGUAAAAUCAAGAAUGGAAAUGGGGAAUAAAGUGUUGUACAGGGAUCCCUGUGACAUAAAUAUUGCAAAAUGUUACUCU
rnacentral:lncRNA from 1 species